rnacentral:rRNA from 1 species
AAUUCGAAGCGCCCCGCAAGGGGAGCGGCAGACGGGUGAGUAACGCGUGGGAAUCUACCUUUUGCUACGGAAUAACUCAGGGAAACUUGUGCUAAUACCGUAUGUGCCCUUCGGGGGAAAGAUUUAUCGGCAAAGGAUGAGCCCGCGUUGGAUUAGCUAGUUGGUGGGGUAAAGGCCCACCAAGGCGACGAUCCAUAGCUGGUCUGAGAGGAUGAUCAGCCACACUGGGACUGAGACACGGCCCAUACUCCUACGGGAGGCAGCAGUGGGGAAUAUUGGACAAUGGGCGCAAGCCUGAUCCAGCCAUGCCGCGUGAGUGAUGAAGGCCCUAGGGUUGUAAAGCUCUUUCACCGGUGAAGAUAAUGACGGUAACCGGAGAAGAAGCCCCGGCUAACUUCGUGCCAGCAGCCGCGGUAAUACGAAGGGGGCUAGCGUUGUUCGGAUUUACUGGGCGUAAAGCGCACGUAGGCGGACUUUUAAGUCAGGGGUGAAAUCCCAGAGCUCAACUCUGGAACUGCCUUUGAUACUGGAAGUCUUGAGUAUGGUAGAGGUGAGUGGAAUUCCGAGUGUAGAGGUGAAAUUCGUAGAUAUUCGGAGGAACACCAGUGGCGAAGGCGGUUCACUGCACCAUUACUGACGCUGAGGCGCGAAAGCGUGGGGAGCAAACAGGAUUAGAUACCCUGGUAGUCCACGCCGCAAACGAUGAAUGUUAGCCGUCGGGGUGUUUACGCUUCGGUGGCGCAGCUAACGCAUUAAACAUUCCGCCUGUGCAGUACGGUCGCAAGAUAAAAACUCAAAG